rnacentral:tRNA from 1 species
GCCAGUGUAGUGUAGUGGUUUGAGCCUUGGACAAUGACUCUGGAGACCAGGGUUCAAAUCCCGGUUUAGCCA